GAGCACGUAGGUGGGUUUGUAAGUCAGAUGUGAAAGCCUUCUGUUCAACGGGAGAAUUGCAUCUGAAACUACAAACCUUGAGUAUAGGAGGGGAGAAUGGAACUUCUGGUGGAGCGGUGAAAUGCGUAGAUAUCAGAAGGAACGCCGGCGGCGAAAGCGAUUCUCUGGCCUAUUACUGACACUCAGUGUGCGAAAGCUAGGGGAGCAAACGGGAUUAGAUACCCCGGUAGUCCUAGCCGUAAACGAUGGGCACUAAGUAGAGGGGUUUU
rnacentral:rRNA from 2 species